AUUGAACGCUGGCGGCAGGCUUAACACAUGCAAGUCGAGCGGGGGAAGGUAGCUUGCUACCGGACCUAGCGGCGGACGGGUGAGUAAUGCUUAGGAAUCUGCCUAUUAGUGGGGGACAACAUCUCGAAAGGGAUGCUAAUACCGCAUACGUCCUACGGGAGAAAGCAGGGGAUCUUCGGACCUUGCGCUAAUAGAUGAGCCGAAGUCAGAUUAGCUAGUUGGUGGGGUAAAGGCCUACCAAGGCGACGAUCUGUAGCGGGUCUGAGAGGAUGAUCCGCAACACUGGGACUGAGACACGGCCCAGACUCCUACGGGAGGCAGCAGUGGGGAAUAUUGGACAAUGGGGGGAACCCUGAUCCAGCCAUGCCGCGUGUGUGAAGAAGGCCUUAUGGUUGUAAAGCACUUUAAGCGAGGAGGAGGCUACUUUAGUUAAUACCUAGAGAUAGUGGACGUUACUCGCAGAAUAAGCACCGGCUAACUCUGUGCCAGCCGCCGCGGUAA
rnacentral:rRNA from 1 species